rnacentral:rRNA from 1 species
GACGAACGCUGGCGGCGUGCUUAACACAUGCAAGUCGAACGGAAAGGCCCUGCUUUUGUGGGGUGCUCGAGUGGCGAACGGGUGAGUAACACGUGAGUAACCUGCCCUUGACUUUGGGAUAACUUCAGGAAACUGGGGCUAAUAUCGGAUAGGAGCUCCUGCUGCAUGGUGGGGGUUGGAAAGUUUCGGCGGUUGGGGAUGGACUCGCGGCUUAUCAGCUUGUUGGUGGGGUAGUGGCUUACCAAGGCUUUGACGGGUAGCCGGCCUGAGAGGGUGACCGGCCACAUUGGGACUGAGAUACGGCCCAGACUCCUACGGGAGGCAGCAGUGGGGAAUAUUGCACAAUGGGCGGAAGCCUGAUGCAGCAACGCCGCGUGCGGGAUGACGGCCUUCGGGUUGUAAACCGCUUUCGCCUGUGACGAAGCGUGAGCGACGGUAAUGGGUAAAGAAGCACCGGCUAACUACGUG